rnacentral:rRNA from 1 species
CCCUAUGGGGUGCACCAGGCAGGUGAUUUUACGUUCCAACAAGUGCGAGAGGACUGCCCGUGCCAGGGCUGAACCUUCUUGGGGAUCUGUGCCAGCGCCCAGUUCAUCCAGCAGCACCAGCGAGCGGUGAUCUGCGCGUUUUAAGAUUUGCACCAACUGGGUGAUGUACCCUGAAAAGGUCGAAAGAGAUUGCUCGAUGGACUGCUCAUCGCCAAUAUCAGCAAAUACAUCCUGAAAAAGGCUUAAACGUGAACCGGAUAAAGCCGGAAUUUGCAAACCCGAUUGUGCCAGCAACACCAGCAGCCCCACCGUUUUACGGGUGACGGUUUUCCCGCCAGUGUUGGGUCCGGUCAACACCACUGCAAAGGUUUCCUGAUCCAGCUCGAUAUCAAUUGGCGGGGGGGC